UUGAGUCCUUGUAUCUUAGGUACGUUAUUAAGAUCUCCAUUUUUCAUAAGUUUUUCGCCCAAGCAACAGAUUUCAGAAUUAUCUGUUGUGACGUCAUUUCGAAGUGAAACUGCAUUCCUAUCGAGUCCUUGUUUCUUAGGAACAUUGGCGGAAGAAAAUAAAUGGAGUAUUAGUUAACUAAUUGCAAGGUGGAAUUUCAUAGAAAUGAAAUGAAGCGACUACAAUAAUCCUCUCAGAGGUGAAGAAUAUACCACGAUUGUGUUCGGGUAUUUUCAAAUUUCCAAUAUGCCGAAAAAGUGAAGCUAAAGUCACGUGUGUGUGGGGUGGUGUCCCUCGACCAUUCUUUGUUAGUCUUCCAAACUGGAUUAAAUAUUUGAGAAAUUAAUCGGGGAAGAGUGUGUUCAAGAAAGUGUAAUAGUGGUUACGGAAUUCUAUGUUGAUAGUGAACAUUCUUUAACACGUUCGAGGAUGACGUGAUUGUUGGGCUACAAAGUCUCUGCCGAUCUGUGAAUAUUUGGUUAACAAAGAAUUAUAACCAGGGUUCUUCAGUACUUGGCUGUUGGAAUCCAAGCGCAGUUGGGCAACCCAGAAUUGAAGCUAGUCGGAAUCAAAGCGCAGUGGCCAUGCCAGAAUUUGAAAUGUUUCUGGACCAAAAAUAAUGGCGGUACAAGUUCUCGUUAAACUCCAGGCCGACAUAUGAAGAAUGUGCAACACCUCUCAAGCUAAUUCGUCGGUGUUGCCUUGCUACGAAUAGACAUUAAAAUCGUUGAGACUAUUGGAUAUGAGUGAACACAAGGCCGACAGAUUGUGUCAUGACCAGUAGAGCCAUUUCAUCAGUAGAUAGGAAGAACUGCUCUUCAUGAUGGUUGGCUGAAGGAUCUGCUCUGUUCAUAAGUAAGAACUGCGCAAAGAUCUGCUUUGUUCAUAAGCUUGGCUGAAGGAUCUGCUCUGUUCAUAAGAACUGCGCAAACAUCUGCUUUGUUCAUAAGCAAGAACUGCUCUUCGUGAUGGCUGUCUGAAGGAUCUGCUCUUUCACAAGUAAGAACUAGUGAAUGUUCACAAGUAAGAACGGUUCUGCUUGAAGGACCAACAAUGUUCAGUUCCGUGAAAGUUGCUUGUUGACUAGCUGAGCCGUUUCAUCAGUACUGAAGUUCUUUUCAUGGUGGCUGACUGAAGGAUCAAAAAGUUCUGAACAAGAGAGACGAACAGCAAAUAUAUAACUUACUUUGUGAACUGCCUAAAGCCGUACUCCUGCAGUUGGUAGGCUUCUUAGUUAUUCAUUCCACUGCAGAAUUUAACCUGAACUUACGAUUUUUUCUCAAGUGGUGAGCUGCUUUCUUCUGCCAGGUGGUUGAGUGCAAACGCCACUAGAGCUUCAAAACAGAAACUAUGAUGAUGUCGCAGUUCUAAUCAUUUCUCCUCUGUAA